rnacentral:lncRNA from 1 species
ACUUCAACAAUUGGCUUUGAUUACUACAGACAGGCAAGCGGAAGUAGCAAAAAAUUAUUUUAAAAAAUGUUCGUUUGCUGUAAUGGGAUGAAUGGAAUGGAACAGUCCAGCCACUAGGAGUGGGAAUAGUCCCUCUCACUAUUUCAAGGAGUUAAAAGUGAAAUAACAGGGAUCUCCACUUACCAGAGUGGAGAGCCAUACUCUGCAAUUCUGAUAUUCACAAGAGAACAAGAUUACUGAAUAAAAUUUUGGAAAGCAAGUCUUAGUGAAGGUAAACAUGUGGACUGCAGAGGAAACAUUGAAAGGUCCAGCCCAGAUUGUUCUGUUUGCUCUAUUUGCACAAUGUUAAUAAAACUAUGAAGGAAAGUUAAACUGGUCACUUUCGAACAAUUGGUAUUUCGUAUUACAUUUGUGAAAACUAAUUGUAAUCGUUUACUUUUUUCUCUAAUGUGUACAAGUCUGGUGUUUGUCGCCAUCAAGGAAAAAAUAGUGAGGACAGCAUCCUCACAUUGGCAAAUUAAUUUUUGAAAGACCGUUUUCAUUAAAAUAUAUUGCCCGGCAUGUACAUAGGACAAUUGCCGACCGAUAAUUCUGACUCUACAAAGACUGCCGAAAUGUGCGAAAUACCAGAUUCGCCAGAAAAUAAGCCACAUUAUUCCACAAGUGGCCUAAAAAACUAUAUUUUAGCCAGUUUCACAGCGCUAAAGCUGUUACUUUCACUCACUGUAGGAAACCUACGUGUGACCCGGUGAAAGCCCGUCAGUUGUUGCUACAAUUUGGCCAAUUGCGCAUCGGCCGAAUGCCACCCAUCAAGCACAAAGUCUGCUGCCUCUUGUCCUGGACUCAUAUCUUGCAUCACGGGAGCCAUCAUUGCGAUAUCCAGUGCAGGUGAUGCUGGCAGGCAUAGCAGCGGCUUCAAGCCAACUAUAAGCCUCAGCAGCGAACGUUAAACAGAUUUUGCAGCCGAUCUUGCAGCAAAUGGUACCAUGUCCCACACAUGGUGUUUCACUACUAGAUCUUGUAUUGACUGCAAACUCGCAAAGUAUGUUUGUACAUCUCCUUAACUGCAUGAACGACCGCAAUGUUAUCCACUGCGAGCAGUGUCAGUGGUAAACAGCUAGAUUCAUCACAAACAUUGCACAGCAAAACUACUGC